AUGAACGCUGGCGGCGUGCCUAAUCCAUGCAAGUCGAGCGAACAGACGAGGAGCUUGCUCCUUUGACGUUAGCGGCGGACGGGUGAGUAACACGUAGGUAACCUACCUAUAAGACUGGGAUAACUUCGGGAAACCGGAGCUAAUACCGGAUAAUAUUUCGAACCGCAUGGUUCGAUAGUGAAAGAUGGCUUUGCUAUCACUUAUAGAUGGACCUGCGCCGUAUUAGCUAGUUGGUAAGGUAACGGCUUACCAAGGCAACGAUACGUAGCCGACCUGAGAGGGUGAUCGGCCACACUGGAACUGAGACACGGUCCAGACUCCUACGGGAGGCAGCAGUAGGGAAUCUUCCGCAAUGGGCGAAAGCCUGACGGAGCAACGCCGCGUGAGUGAUGAAGGUCUUCGGAUCGUAAAACUCUGUUAUUAGGGAAGAACAAACGUGUAAGUAACUGUGCACGUCUUGACGGUACCUAAUCAGAAAGCCACGGCUAACUACGUG
rnacentral:rRNA from 1 species